rnacentral:rRNA from 1 species
UAGGGAAUCUUCGGCAAUGGACGAAAGUCUGACCGAGCAACGCCGCGUGAGUGAAGAAGGUUUUCGGAUCGUAAAACUCUGUUGUUAGAGAAGAACAAGGACGUUAGUAACUGAACGUCCCCUGACGGUAUCUAACCAGAAAGCCACGGCUAACUACGUGCCAGCAGCCGCGGUAAUACGUAGGUGGCAAGCGUUGUCCGGAUUUAUUGGGCGUAAAGCGAGCGCAGGCGGUUUCUUAAGUCUGAUGUGAAAGCCCCCGGCUCAACCGGGGAGGGUCAUUGGAAACUGGGAGACUUGAGUGCAGAAGAGGAGAGUGGAAUUCCAUGUGUAGCGGUGAAAUGCGUAGAUAUAUGGAGGAACAACAGUGGCGAAGGCGGCUCUCUGGUCUGUAACUGACGCUGAGGCUAGAAAGCGUGGGGAGCAAACAGG